UACGUAGGGUGCGAGCGUUAAUCGGAAUUACUGGGCGUAAAGCGUGCGCAGGCGGUUUUGUAAGCCAGAUGUGAAAUCUCCGGGCUUAACCUGGGAAUGGCAUUUGGGACUGCAAGGCUGGAGUUUGGCAGAGGAGACUGGAAUUCCUGGUGUAGCAGUGAAAUGCGCAGAUAUCAGGAGGAACACCGAUGGCGAAGGCAGGUCUCUGGGCAUUAACUGACGCUGAGGAGCGAAAGCAUGGGGAGCGAACAGG
rnacentral:rRNA from 1 species